UACGUAGGGUCCGAGCGUUGUCCGGAAUUAUUGGGCGUAAAGGGCUCGUAGGCGGUUUGUUGCGUCGGGAGUGAAAACUUACAGCUUAACUGUGAGCGUGCUUCCGAUACGGGCAGAUUUGAGGUAUUCAGGGGAGAACGGAAUUCCUGGUGUAGCGGUGAAAUGCGCAGAUAUCAGGAGGAACACCGGUGGCGAAGGCGGCAUCCUGGACCGAUAUUGACGCUGAGGUGCGAAAGCGUGGGGAGCAAACAGG
rnacentral:rRNA from 1 species